GACGAACGCUGGCGGCGUGCUUAACACAUGCAAGUCGAACGGAAAGGCCCUGCUUUUGUGGGGUGCUCGAGUGGCGAACGGGUGAGUAACACGUGAGUAACCUGCCCUUGACUUUGGGAUAACUUCAGGAAACUGGGGCUAAUACCGGAUAGGAUCUCCUGCUUCAUGGUGGGGGUUGGAAAGUUUCGGCGGUUGGGGAUGGACUCGCGGCUUAUCAGCUUGUUGGUGGGGUAGUGGCUUACCAAGGCUUUGACAGGUAGCCGGCCUGAGAGGGUGACCGGCCACAUUGGGACUGAGAGACGGCCCAGACUCCUACGGGAGGCAGCAGUGGGGAAUAUUGCACAAUGGGCGGAAGCCGGAUGCAGCAACGCCGCGUGCGGGAUGACGGCCUUCGGGUUGUAAACCGCUUUCGCCUGUGACGAAGCGUGAGUGACGGUAAUGGGUAAAGAAGCACCGGCUAACUACGUG
rnacentral:rRNA from 1 species